GUUACAAAUUUCUGUAUAAUAAUUUAUCCUAUCUGUGCUAUAAUGUAUAUCUAAUUCUAGAUUUUCAAUGUUAUUUAUUAUCUUGUGUUGUUCUUCUCAUAGUGAGUUUUUUAAAUUAUGUAAACUAUCACAUUGUACUUUUAUCUAAAUUUUCUAAAGUUUUUUCUAUCCAUAUUAAUUUUUCUUUUAGGUCUUCCAUUAUUUGUCUAAUUCGGUUUCUAU
rnacentral:lncRNA from 1 species